rnacentral:tRNA from 1 species
GAAAGAUGGCUGAGCUGGUCUAAGGCGCACGAUUGGAAAUCGUGUGUGCGUUAGUAGCGCACCGUGGGUUCGAAUCCCACUCUUUCC